ACGUAUCUCAGGCGUGCGACCCGUGCCCUGCUCCCUCUCGGUGAGCGGUCGCGUGGCUGCCGUCUAACCUUCAUAAACCACUGUGAACCUUUGCGGCGGAGGCGAGCGGGCGAGAGCCUGCUUGCCAAAACCGUACCCACAAACACUAGUAACAAGAAUGUACAGCGACUUUGUUCGCCCAUUAAACAUAA
rnacentral:misc_RNA from 1 species